ensembl:lncRNA
UGUGUGUGUGUGUGUGUGUGUGUGUGUGUGUGUGUGUGUGUGUGUGUGUGUGUGUGUGUGGAGACUGUACCAAACUGUUUGUAUGUGUUUGUGGAGACUGUACUAACCUGUGUGUGUGUGGAGACUACUAACCUGUGUGUGUGUGGAGACUGUACUAACCUGUGUGUGUGUGUGUGUGUGUGUGUGGAGACUAACCUGUGUGUAGAGACUACUAACCUGUGUGUGUGUGUGUGUUAAAAUGGCGCUAACGUGUGCUAACCUUGCGUCCUCUGCCUGUUUGUCUCAGCUGAGGAAGUCGGGGCAGGUACGUGGAAUGAGCGCAGCACAUGAGCAGUAAGAGGGACGAAGAGCAAGAGUCCUACCAUGACAACAAAGACUGAAGAGGAGAGGCUGGGCAUUGGCAUUGGUGUGUGUGUGUGCGUGCGCGUGUUUGCGCGCGUUUGUGUGUACGCGCGUUUGUGUGUGCGUGUGCGUGUGUGUGUGUGUGCGUGUGUGUGUGUGCGUGUGUGUGUGCGCUGGUUCCAGCUCCUGUAGUCCUGUCAUUGUGCAGACCUUGCAAGGGUUGCCCCGUGAGUGUUAUGCACUAGGAGUGAUUUUAAUGUAUUUUAAAGAGAAAUGUCUGAUCAGCUAGAUGACCACAGCACACAUUUUUAUUUGUUACUUUGCCAUUUUUAUUUCUUGUAAUGCGAUUCCUGAAUGACAUGUCAUCAUCUCUGUGCGUGAGAUAGUUGGUGUCCAAGGCAUUAUUCUUGGAAUCUCCCUAUGGGCCGUGACCAGCUAGGUCCACCCCUGCAAUGAGUUUAACAUCUCAGCAACUGCGGGGAUGCCUGUGUUUAGUGUGUGUAUGUGUGUGUGUGUGUUAAGGGGGGUGAAGAUUUCUGUGUUUCUUUUCUUUCCUCUUUCUCAUGUAUCCUGAAGAGGAUAUGUAGCACAGAAUGCUUGUGUGUAGGACGGGUGACGGGGGUGUUAAUAUUUAAAUUAUGUCCUAGUUGAGACGGGUCUGAGAGCUGUGAAGGUAGCAGCCAGUCCUCUCUCUUCAUCUCCUACAUUUCCUGACUCCCUCCCUCCCCUCUGCUAGAGUCAUGUCCUCUGGUGUCCAUUUCCCUGGUUGUGUUAGCUAGUUAGCGUGUUUAGGAUGCUGAGCUGUGGCAGGUAGAUAAUGUUUGUUCGUUUGUUAUGAAUAUAUUUAUUAACUGAAUUGUAAAUGCCAUUCUCUGAGUUGGAAGGGAUGCCGAGUGCGCAUCUGGUAGUUUCUUACCACACAUUUUCAGGACGCCUCAGUGAGAAGGGCUCGUUUGUGAGGUGACCUUUGACCUGUUCGGUUGUGAGGUCGUUUUACCCCUCACCAUGUCUGUCUGGCGUGUGUGUGGGUAUGCAAGUUUAAUCCCACCACAAUUCAUCACACACCUUGUGUCAGGUCACCACACACGUCCAACUGGCACACAGGGACGCAUCAGAGAGAGAGAGAGAGAGAGAGAGAGAGAGUGUGUGUGUGUGUGUGGGGGGGGGGUUCUCCCCCCCCCCCGUGGGUGCUCUCCUCCCCGUGGGUGCUCAUGUGUAGCUGCACCAAAUAAGACUGAAGACUUGUCUGUCUCAGGAUGUCUGGAUCACUUUUCUACACUGAAUCCUUAGGCUAGGCUAGGAGGAACAAAUAGGGCCAGCUGAGUCUGCUUUUUAUUGUCUAAUCAUGAUUGAGCACUUGCAAGAUUUUUUAAAAACAGGAUGUAUUCAGAUACCUUUUUCAGACUUAUUCAAAUUUCAGGGGGAAUUAGUUGUGAAUGUACAAUGUUAUGACUUUAUGUUAUUUUUAUCGUAAUGUAUUUUGGCAGCUUUUGAGCUGUUACUGAAAGGUCUAGACAAUGUUAA